rnacentral:rRNA from 1 species
GACGUAGGGGGCCAGCGUUGUUCGGAAUUACUGGGUGUAAAGGGUUCGUAGGCGGUGCGGCAAGUUGGGAGUGAAAUCUCUGGGCUUAACCCAGAGGUCUUCGACUUCAAACUGCUGUGCUUGAGUGUGGGAGAGGCGCGUGGAAUUGCAGGUGUAGCGGUGAAAUGCGUAGAUAUCUGCAGGAACACCCGUGGCGAAAGCGGCGCGCUGGACCACUACUGACGCUGAGGAACGAAAGCUAGGGGAGCAAACAGG